GGGUGAUGGCAUUUGUUGUUUGGUUUUUUUAAAAUUUAUUUUUAAUAACCAAAAUAGUGUUUUGAUAUAGAGUAAAAAAAUGAUGAUAUUAUAAUUUUUAAAUCUGUUUUGUUUUGUUUUUGUGUUUUUUUUCUUUUCAGAAUCUUUAGAUUAGAUCUAAGGGUGGUUGACCACAAUUUUCUUGAACCAUAGGGUCCAGGAGAACAGGACUCAUAUUAAACAUUAUUCCAUCAAAUAACUUAAAAUGUUCAUAUCUUUCUUAAUUACAAUUACCUGUAUGAGCAAAAUAAAUAUGGAACUAACUAGGUUGGAUUGGAAUCUCACAAGCA
rnacentral:lncRNA from 1 species